rnacentral:rRNA from 1 species
GUAAGGAAUAUUGGACAAUGGACGCAAGUCUGAUCCAGCCAUGCCGCGUGAAGGAUUAAGGUCCUCUGGAUUGUAAACUUCUUUUAUAAGGGACGAAAAAAGGCUUUUCUAAGUCGUCUGACGGUACCUUAUGAAUAAGCACCGGCUAACUCCGUGCCAGCAGCCGCGGUAAUACGGAGGGUGCAAGCGUUAUCCGGAUUCACUGGGUUUAAAGGGUGCGUAGGCGGGCAGGUAAGUCAGUGUUGAAAUCCUAGAGCUUAACUCUAGAACUGCCAUUGAUACUAUCUGUCUUGAAUAUUGUGGUGGUAAGCGGAAUAUGGCAUGUAGCGGUGAAAUGCUUAGAUAUGACAUAGAACACCUAUUGCGAAGGCAGCUUACUACGCAUAUAUUAACGCUGAGGCACGAAAGCGUGGGGAUCAAACAGGAUUAGAAACCCCGGUAGUCC